CUCUCCGGCAACUUCCUCCACCUUGACCGGGAGGAGGGCCUUGUGCGACGAUCUCAGUCCCGCGGGGCCUGGGAGGUAGCGGCCGUGAGCGCUGGCCCGCCGCUGCGGGACGCACUCCCCGGCCUUGCACUGAGCGCGGGCUGCCGGGCACCCGGCUACGUCCCAGCCCUGCGGCUCUAUCGCGCUUGUCAUCUGGGUUCUCCGGUGCAGGGGCGGGCCACAGCGCCGCCAUCGCUCAGAGCCCAGGGAAAGAUGAUCCCGCGACCGUCCGGCCAAAAGCAACCACGAGACUCGGGUUCUCGAAUGAACUUGGGUCGAGACCACACGAGAAGAGCGAGUUUCGUUUUCAGGUGCUCCCACAGCAGACCCUCUUGGUCUCCCCAACCCCCAUCCUGGCAGAGCCCCGGAGCGCCACAUUUCCGGGCUCAGCUUUCUGGCAUCCCGAUUCUGUGUCCUGGUGGACACCGCCACAGCUGGGCCCUCGGGAGGAUCUGCCCUUGAAAGGGCUCAGAGAGAAAACUUCGUGUUCAAAACAAGGAUGUAGUCAUCGCUGUGGAAUCUUCACUGUGGGCUCUGGGAGGUGGGCGUCCCUCGGCUCAAGUUCUCCGAGUCUUUUUGUGAGUUUAUAAAAUAUUGGGACGGCUAAGGAUGACAUUCAGGGGUAUAGCGCCUGAGCCCAGCCCUGGAUUCUAUCUCCAGCACCGCCAAACCAAAGUAAAAUAUGGAGAAAAGGCUAAAAUGGAAAUUGGAAAAAAAAAAAAAAAAAAAAAAAGAAAUCACAGAAAACCUCACUGUCCUAAGGUAAGGUUUCCUAGAGAGAACUGCCUUGAUUCCAUAAACACGAGGGAGUUUAUUCGGAUCGAGCCCUGCCUCCUUAGGGCCACGCACCUAGUUGUCACCUAGGCUAUAUUAAAUAAAUGAAUGUGCAUGGUAGUUUGACACAG